ACGGAGGCACAGACCAGAAAACAUAAUGCCCCUCUACUAUCGUAGGUGGGGCAUAAAAAUACAUAAAUCUGAAUUGUCUGAAUUAAGAAAAAACUUGGAUUUUUCUAAAAUAUAAAUGAAUUAACAAAAUAAAAAAUCAUGAAAAAUAAUUGCUUUAAAGUAGACUAGAAAGAGCUAUACAUGAAAAACUAAUCUCUCGUGUAUAUAAGUU
rnacentral:lncRNA from 1 species